rnacentral:rRNA from 1 species
UACAGAGGUCUCGAGCGUUAGGCGGAAUCACUGGGCUUAAAGCGUGUGUAGGUGGAUGCCUAAGUACCUUGUGAAAUCCCACGGCUUAACCGUGGAACUGCUUGGUAUACUGGGUGUCUUGAGUCACUCAGGGGCGAGCGGAACAAAUGGUGGAGCGGUGAAAUGCGUAGAUAUCGGAAGGAACGCCGGUGGCGAAAGCGACGCACUGGAUCUCUUCUGACGGCUGAGGCGCGAAAGCCAGGGGAGCAAACGGG